rfam:Gossypium hirsutum cultivar TM-1 chromosome 2, whole genome shotgun sequence
UAGCUCACUUGGUUGAAGCUUCAUGCUAUUAACAUGAAGAUUUCAGGUUCAAAUCCUGG